rnacentral:rRNA from 1 species
AUUGAACGCUGGCGGCAGGCCUAACACAUGCAAGUCGAGCGAGCGGCGGACGGGUGAGUAAUGUAUGGGGACUCCCCGAUAGAGGGGGAUAACUAGUGGAAACGGUGGAUAAUACCGCAUACUAUCGGAUAACCCAUAUGGGAUUAGGUAGUAGGUGGGGUAAAGGCUCACCUAGGCGACGAUCUCUAGCUGGUCUGAGAGGAUGAUCAGCAACACUGGGACUGAGACACGCACCAGACUCCUACGGAGGCAGCAGUCGGGAAUAUUGCACAAGGGGCGCAAGCCUGAUGCAGCCAUGCCGCGUGUAUGAAGAAGGCCUUAGGGUUGUAAAGUACUUUCAGCGGGGAGGCGUUACCCGCAGAAGAAGCACCGGCUAACUCCGUGCCAGCAGCCGCGGUAAUAC